rnacentral:rRNA from 1 species
UACGGGGGGGGUAAGCGUUGUUCGGAAUCACUGGGCGUAAAGGGCGCGUAGGCGGCCGAUCAAGUCGGGGGUGAAAGCCUGUGGCUCAACCACAGAAUUGCCUUCGAUACUGUUUGGCUUGAGACCGGAAGAGGUUAGUGGAACUGCGAGUGUAGAGGUGAAAUUCGUAGAUAUUCGCAAGAACACCAGUGGCGAAGGCGGCUGACUGGUCCGGUUCUGACGCUGAGGCGCGAAAGCGUGGGGAGCAAACAGG